rnacentral:misc_RNA from 1 species
AGUUUUGGGCCUAUCAGAGGGCUUAAUACCCAAUUGCCAAAAUUCGGCUUUAAGAUCGAAUUUUGAGAAGAUAUGGGCCUCAUGGAGUUGGGUGAACAGGGAUUCAGGUUUUGGUAAUGAGAACUUGUUAUCGUGAAGAAAAUGGUUGAGAGGCUUGUAGUCAAUGACAAGUCUCUUUUUUUCCCUUAGUCGUUCAGAUCUCUUUUCCACGUAAAAGGCUUGGCAAGCCCAUUGAGAAGAUAUGGGUUCUAUGAGACCUUGUUGGAUAAGCUGUUUGCAUUCUUUCUGGGCUGGAGCCAAGUCUGUAGGAUUCAUCCCCGAGUGUGAUGCUUUUGUCGGGUUUAUAUCCUCAUUGAGCUUGAACGGAAGGUUGACAAAGAACUCUGGGUUUUUCCACAAAGGGUGGUGAUGAUGAAAAUGUGCAUGAGAAUCAGCACAGCAUCUUAGGAGGAGCUCUUUGUGAUCUUGGAACUCUGUUAAGGUGUCAGCUAAGGAUUAUAACCUUGGGACAGAGGUGAAUGGCUGAAAACUCCUUUUAUAUUUUAAUCCUGUUGGUAGAAGCUUCAAAUGCUUUGCUUACUGAUAUAAAUCAAAGCCUAUCAACAAAUCCUUAUCAGAAAGAUCUGACCCGAUAACCUUGGUCCAAAGGAUACAGGUGGGGAAAAACUGAAUCCCAAUGGGUUGUUUGGUGAUGAGGUUGGUCUUGAAAAUAUUUCCAUCUGCUGCUUUGAAAUAUUCUGUAUGACGGACCUAGUAUUCUGAAGGUAAAAUGGCUGGGUUUAUCAUGCUUUUGUGAGCUCCGGUAUCAAGAAAACCAAUAACAUUGAUGGGUCGUUCAUAUUUGCUAGGAAGGAUGUGAAUUGGAACUAGGGGGAUUGGAAUGGUGUCUGGGCUGUGAGCUGGAUGUGAGGAUUGGACUUGUUGGGCUAGGUAAGAAGGGUAAUGAGCCUCAGAAUUUGAUUCUGAUUCUUUUGAGGACAAUGAAUGGUCUUGGCCCGAAUCAGUAUCUGCUCCGAGGGCAAAAACAGUAUCUUCGUCUGGUUCAUCUUGUUCAGAGAACAAAGAUUCAACAUCAUCAUGCUCCAGGGAGAUGUGAGAAGCUUGCUAAAUAUGCUGCAAAAGCUUAACAGCUUUGUUAGUGUUCUUGGGGCAAUUCUUGGCAUAGUGACCCCGAUUGCCACAAAUAUAGCAUAGAUCAGACUUUUUUGUACCCGUCCUUUUCUUCUGAAAAUACCUGACUGACUUUUUCUCUUUUUUUUGUUUGAAAGAGGGUUUGAAUCCAGAAGAAUACUUCUUGUAGUGUCCCUUCUUUUUGGGCUUGCAUUCACACUUCUUCUCCUUGCAUUUGAUGGCAAGGUGGGACUUCUGGCAAACGUUUUUCAAGGCUUUACUGUUGUCAAUGAUAUUCUUGAAUAACUUCUGUUGCUCACACAUCUUGUCUAAGCAAGCCAGAGUCAUCUGAUGGAUUUCUCCGACAGUGAUGACAUUCAAUGCUCUUCUAGUAGUAGCAAUGGUUCUGUGGAGUUUAGGUUGUAACGCCUCCGGGAGAGAGACAAUGUAUGUGUGCCUGAGAUUGACAUCAUUAUAGUCAUUCAGUAAAUAAUAGCGUUGAGCCAUGCGCUAGUAGUGUCUUUCAAUAUCUAUUCUCUUCAAAGAGCAGCAACGCAUAUCAAAGUACUCUUGGCGUAACUGUUUGCUGUACAAAGAGGCAUCUCCGAGGAAUUCAGCAAAAAUAGCAUUGACAGCUUGUACAGUAUUAAGAUGACAAAACUGGACUUUGUAAUAUUCUCUAAUGGAUGCAUAAUUGUCGGUCACCUUGUAUAAAAACGCCAUGUGAAUUUCUGAUUAAAAUAAAAAUGCCAUCUAAUAGUUUGCUUAAUGUUGAGUAAUUGGUCAUCUUGUAAUAAAAAUGUUAUGCAAAUGUCUGUAACACGGUUAAAAAAUUCCAAUGUCAUGUAAAGGGUUCCUAUGUUAUGAUAAAAUUAAUGUGAAUGUUGAAGUUCUAACACCAAAUUGAGAAGGUUUAAAUUUCUCGAUAGAAUUGAAAGAAUUUUUUAUGUCCAGGAAUUUUUUGGUCACCAAGCCUUUUUCUUUUUUAUACAAUAAUUUUCAUUUUUCAAAAUUCUCGAUAGAAUUGAAAAAAGUUUGAAGUCCAGGAAUCUGUUAGAGGUCCUAUUAUUGAUCCAGGAAAUGUGGGCCAGGAUCCAAAACCAUUGAGAGUCGAAGAAUGUGAAGAAGAAAGCAGGAUCCAGAAAGGGACAACUGGAAGGGAAUAAUUUGAUGGUUAUGCAGUUACAAGGAAUUGCGGGAGGAAGUUCACAUGGGCUAUGAAGGACCGUUCUAGAUUUAUUACGGCAGGAAAGGGCAGGGAUAGUCACAGGAUAUUUAUGCUUUUGCCUACAUGUUGCCUAUAUGUUGUUCAAUGUAAUUUUUAUGAUUUUACAUGUGCAAAUACAUCUAUAUAACCUUCUAUUGUUAAUUUCUCACUACCUGGACCAGUCUCUGAAUAAGAAUACUGAUAGAUAGGACUGUGAAGGGAUUGUAGGACUUUUAUUACUUUCAUGUUAGGUUUGGCCUAAACAAUGGCUUAAUUCACAUUAUUCUUCUUCCCAUAAACGUAGCAUGCACCUUACUACAUUUGUCAGAAGAAGAAUCACGUUGACAAAACCAUUGUUUUAAGCCAAACUCAACAUGGAAAGGAAGUCCUUGGGAAUUGAACAAUGCAACCCCUUCACACUUUAUCAAUCAGCUUCUCUGCAUUGUGCUUGCCUCCACUCAUCUUCAGCUUCUUCAAUUGCCUUUUCAAAGUAGAGAGGGGCCUGUUUAGC